rnacentral:rRNA from 1 species
UACGAAGGGGGCUAGCGUUGCUCGGAAUUACUGGGCGUAAAGGGCGCGUAGGCGGACAGUUUAGUCAGAGGUGAAAGCCCAGGGCUCAACCUUGGAACUGCCUUUGAUACUGACUGUCUUGAGUUCGGGAGAGGUGAGUGGAAUGCCGAGUGUAGAGGUGAAAUUCGUAGAUAUUCGGCGGAACACCAGUGGCGAAGGCGACUCACUAGCCCGAUACUGACGCUGAGGCGCGAAAGCGUGGGGAGCAAACAGG